rnacentral:tRNA from 1 species
AAAGAAAUAUACUUAAAAAAAGCUUCUAACUUUUUAAUCAGCAUUAACCUGUUGA